rnacentral:rRNA from 1 species
AUUGAACGCUGGCGGCAUGCCUUACACAUGUAAGUCGAACGGUAACAGGUCUUCGGAUGCUGACGAGUGGCGAACGGGUGAGUAAUACAUCGGAACGUGCCUAGUAGUGGGGGAUAACUACUCGAAAGAGUGGCUAAUACCGCAUGAGAUCUACGGAUGAAAGCAGGGGAUCGCAAGACCUUGUGCUACUAGAGCGGCCGAUGGCAGAUUAGGUAGUUGGUGGGAUAAAAGCUUACCAAGCCGACGAUCUGUAGCUGGUCUGAGAGGACGAUCAGCCACACUGGGACUGAGACACGGCCCAGACUCCUACGGGAGGCAGCAGUGGGGAAUUUUGGACAAUGGGCGAAAGCCUGAUCCAGCAAUGCCGCGUGCAGGAUGAAGGCCUUCGGGUUGUAAACUGCUUUUGUACGGAACGAAAAGACUCUGGUUAAUACCUGGGGUCCAUGACGGUACCGUAAGAAUAAGCACCGGCUAACUACGUGCCAGCCGCCGCCGUAA